rnacentral:rRNA from 1 species
AAUGAACGUUGGCGGCAUGGAUUAGGCAUGCAAGUCGAGCGAGAAGUGUAGCAAUACACGGAAAGCGGCGGAAGGGAGAGUAAUACGUGGGAAUCUGCCCUUAGACCUGGGAUAGCAGCGGGAAACUGCUGGUAAUACCAGAUAAUGUCUAUGGACCAAAGGUGUGAUUCCGUCUAGGGAUGAGCCCACGUCCUAUUAGCUAGUUGGUAGGGUAAUGGCCUACCAAGGCGAUGAUGGGUAGCGGGCGUGAGAGCAUGACCCGCCUCACUGGGACUGAGACACUGCCCAGACACCUACGGGUGGCUGCAGUCGAGAAUCUUCGGCAAUGGGCGCAAGCCUGACCGAGCGAUGCCGCGUGCGGGAUGAAGGCCUUCGGGUUGUAAACCGCUGUCGAGGGGGAGCAACUUCCAUAGAGUUAUCUUUAUGGAUUGAGUGAUCCCUGGAGGAAGGACGGGCUAAGUUCGUGCCAGCCGCCGCCGUAAAAC